rnacentral:misc_RNA from 1 species
GAUGAAGAACGCAGCGAAAUGCGAUAAGUAAUGUGAAUUGCAGAAUUCAGUGAAUCAUCGAAUCUUUGAACGCACCUUGCGCCCUUUGGACAUUCCGAAGGGCAUGCCUGUUUGAGUAUCAUGAACACCUCAACUCUCACGGCUUGUCCGUGAUGAGCUUGGACUUUGGGGGUCUUGCCGGCCUGUGGUCGGCUCCUCUCAAAUGGAUCAGCUUGCCAGUGUUUGGUGGCAUCACAGGUGUGAUAACUAUCUGCGCUUGUGGUUUUCCAUCAGAUAACCUUCAGUGAUAUGGAGGUUCGCUGGAGCUCACAAAUGUCUCUCCUUAGUGAGGACAGCUCUUUGAACGUUUGAUCUCAAAUCAGGUAGGACUACCCGCUGAACUUAAGCAUAUCAAUAAGCGGAGGGA